rnacentral:rRNA from 1 species
UAGGGAAUCUUCGGCAAUGGACGAAAGUCUGACCGAGCAACGCCGCGUGAGUGAAGAAGGUUUUCGGAUCGUAAAACUCUGUUGGUGAGAANAAGAACGUUGGUGAGAGUGGAAAGCUCAUCAAGUGACGGUAACUACCCAGAAAGGGACGGCUAACUACGUGCCAGCAGCCGCGGUAAUACGUAGGUCCCGAGCGUUGUCCGGAUUUAUUGGGCGUAAAGCGAGCGCAGGUGGUUUAUUAAGUCUGGUGUAAAAGGCAG